GAAAUUAUAUCAAUUGUUGGUUAUUUAUAAUUUAUAUAAUCGUUAAAACUAUUGAUAAAAACAUAGAAAAAAAAAAGACACAAAGAAUGAUGGUAAUGAAUAUAAGAAGUGUUAGCUAUAAAAUCUCUGUUUCUGUUUUUGAGUUUACUGUUUUUGACUUGUCUGUUAUAAUAAGACCUAUUCUUUAGGAGAAAUAGGGACUGUUUUCUAGUCACUACGCUAUAGGCUUGUAAAGCGUAGAAUCUGUUUUAUUUUUUUUCUGUGUAAAAGGCUAUAAAUAGCCAGUAGUUUGCGAAUUGAAGAUACUUCCCUCUAUUCAGUUUUCUUAAUUUUCUGAGUUCUGAUUUUCAACAUUUGGUAUCAGAGCGCUUGUGAAAGGGACCUGAUUAAAAGGAGAGUCUGAAAGUGAGUGAAAGAUGACAACCACAGAGCCAUUCGUGACUCCAAAGUUUGAUGGCCAUUACGAUCAUUGGUCGAUGUUGAUGGAGAAUUUCUUAAGGAGUAAAGAGAUGUGGAAUCUGGUGCAUGAAGGGAUACCGUCACCGGCAGUAGGAAUUUCACCAGCGAGCGAGAUGCAAAGGAAGGGUGUCGAGGAAGCUAAGCUCAAGGAUCUGAAGGUCAAGAAUUUUCUGUUCCAAGCAAUUGACAGAGAGAUCUUGGAAACCAUUCUUGACAAAAGCACGUCAAAGGCGAUCUGGGAUUCGAUGAAGCAGAAAUACCAGGGAUCUACCAAGGUGAAGAGAGCACAACUGCAAGCACUAAGGAAGGAGUUUGAAAUGCUGAAUAUGAAGGAAGGAGAAAAGAUUGAUAGCUUUAUUGCACGGACUCUUACAGUGGUAAAUAAGAUGAAGGUGAAUGGUGAAAAUGUACAACCAAGCACAGUGGUGUGUAAGAUUUUAAGAUCUUUGACUCCUAAAUUCAAUUAUGUUGUCUGCUCGAUUGAGGAGUCAAAUGAUUUAGAUACCAUGACCAUGGAUGAGCUCCAUGGAAGUCUGCUUGUUCAAGAACAGAGAAUGCAGGGAUGUCUAGAGGAAGAACAAGCCUUAAGAGUCUCUUAUAAUGAUAAGCCAGGAAGAGGAAGAGGCAGAGACUCAUUUCGAGGAGGUCGAGGUAAAGACUCAUUUCAAGGAGGUCGAGGUAGAGGAAGAGGGAGGUCAUAUCAGAAUAAAGCCACAAUAGAGUGUUUCAAAUGUCAUCAGUUGGGUCACUAUCAAUAUGAAUGUCCUGAUUGGGAAAAACAAGCCAACUAUGCUGAAAAUGUAGAAGAAGAAGAGCUUUUGCUGAUGUCUUAUGUCGAUUUUUCUCAAACCAAGGGAGAAGAAGCAUGGUUUCUUGACUCUGGGUGUUCCAAUCAUAUGACUGGAAACAAAGAAUGGUUCUCAGAGCUGGAUGAAGGAUUUAAACAAACGGUGAAACUUGGUAAUGACACCAGAAUGGCAGUGGUGGCUAAAGGAAGUGUACGCUUUCAAGUGAAUGGCAUGACUCAGGUAAUUUCAAAUGUUUUUUACAUACCUGAGUUAAAGAGCAACUUGCUGAGUAUAGGACAGCUUCAGGAGAAGGGUUUAGCUAUUUUAAUUGAGCAAGGGACUUGUAAAAUUUAUCAUCCUAAAAGAGGGCUGAUUAUCCGGACUAAUAUGAGCAGAAAUAGAAUGUUUUAUCUAUUAGCUUCCAUUGAACCAACAAAGAAUUCUAUGUGUCUUCAAGCUGAAGCUUUGUCUGAGAAAGAAUCACAUUUGUGGCAUUGUCGCUUUGGCCAUUUGAGUUAUACGGGGUUGAGAACGCUCGCAUACAAUAAGAUGGUAAAUGGUGUGCCUCUGCUCAAAGUUCCAGAAAGAUUAUGUGAAGUUUGCUUGGUUGGAAAACAACACAGAGAAUCUAUACCAAGACAUAGUUCAUGGAGAGCAUCGAAGCAGCUCCAACUUGUACAUUCUGAUAUCUGUGGACCUAUCACACCAGCUUCCAACAGUAACAAAAGGUACAUCUUAAGCUUUAUUGAUGACUUCUCACGUAAGACAUGGGUUUAUUUUUUACAUGAGAAGUCAGAAGCUUUUGUUGCAUUUAAAAAUUUCAAAGCAUGUGUCGAAAAGGAAAUUAGUGCAUACAUAACCUGUUUGAGAACAGAUAGAGGAGGUGAGUUCAACUCCAAUGAAUUUGUGGAAUUCUGUAAAACUCAUGGUAUAAGCAGGCAGUUAACAGCAGCAUACACUCCACAGCAGAACGGAGUUGCUGAAAGAAAGAACAGAACAAUCAUGAACACAGUGCGCUCAAUGUUAGCUGAGAAGAAGAUUCCAAAAAUGUUCUGGCCCGAAGCUGUAAAGUGGUGUGUGCACAUUCAAAAUAGGAGUCCAACUGUGGCAGUAAAAGAAAAAACUCCAGAAGAAGCAUGGAGUGGUGUAAAGCCAACGGUGAAUUAUUUUCGGAUCUUCGGAUGUAUAGCUCAUGUUCACAUUCCAGAUCAGAAAAGGAGUAAAUUGGACUCCAAGAGUAAGAAGUGUGUGUUAUUGGGUGUUAGUGAUGAAUCCAAGGCUUAUAGACUGUACGAUCCAAUCACUAAGAAGAUUAUCAUUAGCAAUGAUGUGCUAUUUGAAGAAGAAGAGAGUUGGGAUUGGGAAAGAGCUGAAGAAGAAUUGAAGUUAGAUGUGCUAGAAGAUGAUAUAGAAAGAAUUGUUGAGCAUGCUGAGGAGGAAAAUAUUGAAAAUAUCUCAGGAAGUAGUAGCAGCUCAGAUAAUUUACCUUCAACUGACGUUAACACCGAAGGAGUUUCAGUUGAAGGGAGGGGUAAAAGGAUCAGAAAAGAACCGGUCUGGAUGGUGGAUUAUGAAACGGGUGAAGAGCUUUCAGAAGAGGUAGAUAUGCACGCAAUGAUGGUGGCAACAUCAGAUGAUCCAUUCUUAUUUGAAGAAGCAGUCAAAAGCAAGAAGUGGAGAGAGGCUAUGACAACAGAAAUUGAAGCUAUAGAGAAAAACAAGACCUGGGAACUGGUAGAUUUGCCUAAAGGUGCUAAGCCCAUUGGAGUGAAGUGGGUUUUCAAGACCAAACUUAAUGAAAAUGGGGAUGUGGAGAAACACAAGGCAAGAUUGGUAGCUAAGGGAUAUGCACAACGUUAUGGAGUAGAUUAUACUGAAGUAUUUGCACCAGUAGCAAGACUUGAUACUAUUCGAGUGAUACUUGCAGUAGCAGCACAUUGUGGAUGGCAAGUCUUUCAACUUGACGUUAAGAGUGCUUUUCUUCACGGUGAUAUCAAGGAGGAAGUAUUUGUGCAUCAGCCUGAAGGUUUCAUUAAAGAAGGAGAAGAAGGAAGGUUUUACAAAUUGAAGAAAGCAUUAUAUGGCCUCAAGCAAGCACCAAGGGCAUGGUAUAGCAAAAUUGAGGCUCAUUUCCUGCGAGAAGGCUUUGAGAAAUGUUCUAGUGAGCACACUUUAUUCACCAAGUCAAAAGGAGGUAAAAUUUUGAUAGUAAGUCUUUAUGUAGAUGACUUAAUUUUCACUGGAAGUGAUAUGAAUAUGUGCAAUGAGUUCAAAAGAUCAAUGAUGUUGGAGUUUGAUAUGUCUGAUUUAGGAAAGAUGAGACACUUUCUUGGAAUAGAAGUAUUGCAAAAUUCGAAUGGUAUUUUUAUUUGUCAGAGGAGAUAUGCUCGAGAGGUGUUAGUAAGGUUUGAAAUGGCAAGUAGCAAUCCUGUAAAAAAUCCAAUUGUACCAGGUACAAAGCUGUCAAAGGAUGAAGGAGGAACUAAAGUUGAUGCAACCUUGUUUAAACAAGCAGUUGGGAGUCUUAUGUACUUAACUGUGACUCGUCCGGACUUAAUGUAUGUUGUAAGUCUUAUUAGCAGGUACAUGUCUAGGCCAACCAUGUCACACUGGUUAGCAGCCAAGAGGAUUCUGAGGUAUGUGAAGGGGACAACUGAGCUAGGCAUUUUCUACAAAAAGGGAGAAGGAAGCUUAAAACUUUUGGCAUUCACAGACAGUGGAUAUGCUGGUGAUCUUGAUGAUAGGAGGAGCACUUCUGGAUAUGUGUUCAUGAUAGGGUCUGGAGCUGUAUCAUGGUCUUCUAAAAAACAACCAGUAGUGACUUUAUCUACCACUGAGGCCGAGUAUAUAGCAGCAGCUCUCUGUGCAUGUCAGUGUUUAUGGCUUAAGAGAAUCAUGGGAAAGAUUGGAAUGGAGAAGGAUGAAGCUACUAUAAUUCAAUGUGAUAGUAGUUCUGCCAUUCAAUUGGCUAGGAAUCCAGUUUUUCAUGGAAAGAGCAAGCAUAUUCAAGUGAGAUUUCAUUUCUUGAGAGAUUUGGUGAAUGAUGGUGUUGUGGAUUUGAGGUUUUGCAAUUCUCAAGAACAAGUUGCAGAUUUGAUGACAAAGCCAAUUAAGCUGGAGCAAUUUGAAAAACUUCGGGGUAUGAUUGGAAUGGUUAAUGCAUCAGAAGUAAGCUAAAUACAUAUGUUUUUAGCUUAAGGGAGGGAAUGUUAGCUAUAAAAUCUCUGUUUCUGUUUUUGAGUUUACUGUUUUUGACUUGUCUGUUAUAAUAAGACCUAUUCUUUAGGAGAAAUAGGGACUGUUUUCUAGUCACUACGCUAUAGGCUUGUAAAGCGUAGAAUCUGUUUUAUUUUUUUCUGUGUAAAAGGCUAUAAAUAGCCAGUAGUUUGCGAAUUGAAGAUACUUCCCUCUAUUCAGUUUUCUUAAUUUUCUGAGUUCUGAUUUUCAACAAGAAGACGACUUGAUUCAAAAUCAAAAUAAGAGAAAAAUAUAAGUAGGAAUAGAAGAAUGGUAUGUUUCCUGUCAAUUGUAAUUCAAAAUAUUGCUUAAAUAGGAUUAUAGAAAUUAUUUUUGUAUGUAAAGUAAAAUUCUAAUUAAUUUAAAAGUGUUAAAUAUUAUAAUUUAAAUCAACUGAAUUUAAAAAUAUUUAGUAUUAGGACUAUGUGUAGUUUAAAUGGGAAAAGGAUUAAGCAAUUAAAAUGUUUUUGGUCAAAAUAUUUACCCCACGUGACUUUACGAACAAAAACAUAUUUUACAUACAAUAAAUGUAUAAAAGUUUCCAUAACUUCAAAAUAUUUAAAUAUUAAAUAUUUUUGACCUAAUUCAAAUAAAGAAUUACAUGAUUCAAAUAAAGAAGAAUUUAGUACAUAAAAUUUAUUUGCACCAUAUAUUUUAGGAUACCUUAAUUACAAAUUAUUCUAAUAGUUCUUACCAUAUAUUUUUAGACUCCUUAAUUAGUAACUUUUAUCAUAUAUUUUUAGACUCCUUAAUUAGUAAAUCUUACUAUAUAUUUUUAGAUUCCUUAAUUAGUAAUUUUCCUAAUACAUAUAUUAUAGGACUUCUUAAUUUAAAUAUUAUAAUAUAAGAAUUAAUUAAUAAUUAUAAUAAAAAAGAUGAUUUUGUCUAAAGGAGAGACUUUAAUUGAACGGUAAAAACUUCAAAUCAAUUUUCAAAGGAUUUUCACAUUUUUAAUAUAUUAUAGAUUAUAAAUUAUAGAUAUAGAUUAUAAAUAUAGAUAUAGAUAUAAAUAUAGAUUUAUGGAGCCCAGGACAGAUUAGGGGCCCUUUUAAAUACCGAUAGAUGACAACUUCCUUCAAAAGUCAAGAAGAAAAAAGCAAGCACCCUUACGUAUGAACCACCUUGAAUUUUCAGCUUUAUAGCCACUUUGUAUUCAGUUUUUGCAAUUAGCUUCUUUGCUUUUUAAUAAUUGGUUAACCAAGUUCAAUCUUCAUAGUAAAAGGUUAGUUAUAAAUAGGGUUGGGCAUAUUUUGGUUUAAACCGAAAAAACAAAGCGAAAUUAAUUUUGGUUUGGUUUUUGAAUUGAUUUCGAUUUCAAAUUUUAGAAAUUCGGUUAAAUGGUUUGGUUUUCGGAUUUCAAAAAAAAAUGGAUAAAUCCAAAAUUCAAAAUUAUAUAAAUAAUAUAUUAUAAUUUAUAUACAUAUAUUUUAUUAUAUAUAUAAAUAUAAUAAUAAUAUAAUAUAAUCUGAUAUAAUAUAACAUAUAAAUACUAAAUAUAUAAAUUAUAAUCAUUUAUUUAGAAACCCUAAAUCCUAACAUAGUAACACUAACCUAAAGGCUGCAACGGGCAGCGGCGCGCAGCCAUCGACCAUUGUCAUUGCCACUCGCCUGUUCGUCAGUGUCAUCGACAGUCGCUUUUGAGUGCCGCCAUUGUGGUCACGCCAACGGCUACGACUCAUUGAGGUUGAUAUUUAUUUCAACAGCGGUCAGCGCCUUGAUUUUGUGAGUUUUUGGCGACCACUGUGAGUCUGUGGUUUUCGGUGACCACAGUGAGUUAGUGAAUAGUGAGUGUGAGUAUGUUGUUUCCAGCGAUCACUAUGACUUGCGAGUGUGAGUUUGUUGUUUUCGGCCAACGACCAGUCUUUUCAGUGAUCUGUCAGCUUCAAAAUAUGUCUGAUUCGGUAUUUUUUAAAUUUUAUUUUUUACUUAAAUUGAUAGUUUAAGGUAAUAGCAUGAGAAUUAAUAAAUAAAUUAUUUUAUUUUCACAGAUUGAAAGUAGGGUAAGCGAAGGUGUAGUGUCAAAUGAAAAUAUUCUAAUUUCAUCACCAAAUGAAGUUGAAACUGUCGUUGAAGCUGAACCUUCAAAGAAAAGAAAGGUCAUGGAACCUACGGCAAAAUGUUGGCAGUGGUUUGACAAGAUCGUCGAUGAAAAACUGAUGUUAAUAAAGCAAAAUAUAAGUAUUGUGGAAAACUUUAUGCUUCUGCUUCAAGUGCCAGUGGUACUUCAUCGAUGAAUAAUCAUAUGCUAAAGUUAUGUCCUUACCGUCCUAAUGUUCGUGUUAAAGAAAGUCAAACAAAAUUAGCUUUUCUAUCAUUUUCUGCGGGUGAAAAGGAAGGGACGUUGGGUACUUGGACAUUUGAUCAAGGGCAAAGUAGGAAAGCUUUAGCCCAAAUGAUAGUUGUUGAUAAGUUGUCGUUUAGUUUUGUUCAAAAGGAAGGUUUUAAAAAUUUCAUGAGAGUCACAACCUCAGACUUUCAUAUUUCUUCUCGUAGAACCUUAACAAGAGAUUGUUAUUAGUUCUACCAUGAAGAGAAACAAGUUUUGAAAAAGAUUGUCAAAGAAGUACGUCCGUAAGUUUGUCUUACGACAGAUACUUAGACGUCUAUACAAACGAUCAACUACAUGUGUCUAACAGCUCACUGUAUAGAUUCAAAUUGGAAAUUGCAUAAAAGAGUGAUAAAUUUCUGUCUGAUUUCUAGUCAUAGAGGUGUUGAUAUGGCUGCUUCCAUUACUAAUUGUUUGUUUGAAUGGGAUUUGGAUACCGUUUUUAGUAUCACAAUUGAUAAUGCUAGUUCCAAUGAUGUUACAGUGAUACAAUUGUCUAAACAAUUAAGUAAUUGGAGAACUAACAUAAUGGAGGGUCAACAUUUUCAUGUGAGGUGUAUGACACAUAUUCUUAAUCUUAUUGUGCAAGAUGGGCUGAAGGAAAUUGACAAGUCUGUCAAGUGAGUGACACAAGUUGUGAAGUAUGUUAAACAAUCUGCCGUGAGAGUGAAAAAGUUCAAAGAACGUUGUGAAUCUCAAUUAUAACUUGUAAGAAAUCUGUAUGUUUAGAUGUUCCUACUCGGUAGAACUCUACAUAUUUGAUGCUUGAAACAACACAACAUUUUGAGCUUGCAUUUGAAAGAUAUAGUUUCUGUGAUAAUAACUUUUUGGAUUAUCUUCGUACUUCUCCUUAUGAAGAUGGAAAUAAUGCAAGCGCCUUUACAAGUGAGGACUAGGAAAAUGUGAGGACAAUGGUAAAAUUUUUGAAAACUUUUUAAGAUCUUAUUUUGAAAAUUUCUGGUUCAGAAUAUGUUACUAACAGUGUGCACUUUGUGGAAAUUCAUGAGCUUGAUUUGAUUUUGAAAGAGAUGAUAGAAAAUAAAGAUUCUAAUCUGAGAAAAAUGGCCUCAAAUAUGAGGGAAAGGUUUAGAAAGUAUUGGGGUGAUCCAGAGAAAAUGAACAAGAAAAUGAACAAAAUGAUCUUUAUUUCAUCUGUGUUGGAUCCCCGAAACAAACUAGAAUAUGUUCCUUUUGCAAUUGUGGACAUGUUUGAAAAAAAAAAUUGGGGACAAGUUGUCUAAACCAGUGGAGACAUAUAUGAAAGUCUUGUUUGAGCAUUAUGUUAAGAAAUCAAAAAACUCUUCAUCUACUUCUUCUUAUUCUGAAAACUCUUCAUCUGUAUGAAAAUUUUCAAAGAAGAGAAAUGAGAACAAAACAACAAUUUGAGAAGCAUAAAGAAAUUAGUGGAGGUUCAAGCAAUAAAUCUGAGUUAGAAAAAUAUCUUGUUGAAAAAAUUGAGCCAGAUUCAAAAAAAUUUGAUAUAUUAGAUUGGUGAAAAGUUAAUGAGUCGAGAUUUUUCAUUCUUGUGGAGAUGAUUCGUGAUGUGUUAGCCAUUCCCAUCUCUAGUGUCGCAUCUGAAUGUGCAUUUAGCACGGGAGGGUGUGUUAUUGAUCCCUUUAGUAGUUUAUUGACUCAUAAACUUGUACAAUCUCUUAUUUGUCUUCAAGAUUGACUUAGAUGUAAACCUAUUUCAAUUAAUAUCGAAGAAGAUUUAGAGUAUCUUGAGCAACUUGAAGUUGGUAAGAAUUUUAUGAUUCUAUAUUCAUUAUAUUGAAAAUAAUUUUUUAAUUUAUAUUACAUUACUAACAAGUAUCUUAUAUUUUUUCAGAAAUGGCUUGUAAUAGAAUCGAGUCUAGCAUUGUUGAUGUGUAGUUGUCAAUAAGUAAUUGUAGAUUGAGGUUGAUCAUGGGUAAGUGUGUUUUUAGAUUCUUCUUCUUCUACUGUUCAUUUGGUUGUGGAGACAAUGGUAAGUUAUGUGACCUUAGAUUCUUAAAAUAUUAUUUCAAUUUUGUUUUCUUGUAUUUCUUGUUGCUUGUCUUCUAACUUCUGUGUUAUAUUAACUAAUAAAUCACCCAGUUUUGCGGAGCAAUUUAAGUGUCAUGUUCCUACUUUCUUCAUGAAUUCAUUUAGUUUCUAGAUCCAAAUUCUUAAACGUGCAUGUUAUAAAACUUAGGAUGUUAAGUUGGAUACUGUCUUCGCUUAAGAGUUUAUGAAGAUUGGCAGCACCUGAACCUAUACUGAGUUAUUUCCUAUUUACCGUGACUUUCUCUACUGUUCCUCUGUUCAGUGUUGUAAAAUAUGGUUCUAUAUGGAAGGCAUUAAGUCUUGUAUAGUAAAGAAGCCUUAUGGGUGCACCAAAAGAUGAUAAAAAAUUAAUGACAUGCUUAAUAUGCUGACUCACAUUAUACAUAUGCUACCUGUCCUAUUUUAGAAACAUAACACUUGAUUUGCUUGGUUCCUUUUAAUUAAUGCAUGUAUCUAGGCUUAUGAUUUAUUUUGAGAUUAAGAAGCUAGUGUUUGUUUUUUAAAAGCAUAAUAUUGUGUCCACUGUAUGCUUCUGAAAACUUAUCUACCUUAUGUCCUGUUAUGUGUGCUGUGCUGCUCUCUUGCAAGCUUAGCAUAAUACUUAUGCUUCAAGAAAUGAUCUAAAUCUAAAAAUUCAUCUACUCAAAAAUAUUAUUUUUCCGACCACCACUUAGGGGCCUAGGGCAAUAGCUUUUUUAUAUCUUGCAUCACAGAAUCUUGUGUGUUCAAUAGCCCAUUAAUCAUAAAUUCCUUUUAUGGGGUUAUUGUGUUGAUUUGAUGUGUAAAACUAGACAUUGGAGGAAAUGAAACUGGUCAUUGCCCAUUUAACCUUUUGUGUCUAUUCCUAUGUUUCCACGUGAUUAAGGUUUUCUGUCGCCUAUUUUUGACAAUCAGAUAAACAAAAACGGAGUUAAUAGAAAGUUCUAUCCAGGUGAUAUACUCUUUCACUGUGGCAUGAAGAGAUGGAUGCUGUGAACUCACUGCUGGAUAUUGUGCCCACAGCAAGUCCAAAACCAAUGAUAAGUUGAGAAUAGAAAAUUGAUUGUCCACAUGUAUUCUUCCCCUGAUACCCCUAGGGGUGGACGUUCGGUAUUCGGUUCAGUAUUUGCAAUGUUCGGAUUUGGUAAUUCGGUAAUCGAUAUUUGAACAUAGAUACCACAUACCAUACUUAUAAAUAUCGGUUCGGUAAUUCGGUAAUCGAUAAAUUAAAUUUCGGUACGGUAUUUGGUAAUACCAUAUUAAAGUUGGAUAUGUGCAAAUGUACGUUUAAACUUCAAAGAGUAUAUUUAAUAGAAAUCCUAUUUAGUAUUCUUUUUGUUGAUUUUUACAAAGAUAUUACCAAGGUUCAAGAGAUUCUUUGAGAUGAUUAAUACUAUUGUCUAUUGGGUUGGGUUAGACACACACACACACAUAUAUAUAUAUAUAUUCGAUAUUCGAUAAAUACCGAAUAUCAAACAGUGUUAAUAUCUUGUACCAAACCCAAUCCCGAAUACCGAAAUGUUGAAAUUUUACUCCCAAAUACCAUACCAAAUACCAAAUUAUCGAAUAUCAGUUACCAAAUUUUUUGAUUCAGUUCGGUAAUUCGAUUUUCGGUAUUUUAUGCUCAGCCCUAAAUAUGCCAGUACUGUCUCCCUGGUGUGGAUUCUCUAUUCAUGCCCUCCCUUUAUCUUCUUGACCUUUAUAUACUAUUAAGGCUGACAAUUUUAUUUAUGUAAUGUCAUAUUUACUUCAAAAAAUUUAUUUCUUCACUCUUUCAAAACAGUAAAAAGAUGGGACUUUUUCUUCUGUGAUAGCUAUUUUAUGGACUGUUUUUAUGCUAUUUCAAUAAUUUUGUGAAUUGUUUAUUCAAACUUAUGCAUAAUGUUGUUAUUUAUUAUGUUAAACUUAUUGUUAUUCAUGCCUGUUGAAUUAAUUAUAUUUGGGAAUGAAAAAUAGGUUUGAAAAGAAAUUAUUUUUCUAGAAAAAUCAUCAAUUUUAAUUAAUGCUCACUAUUUUAAUCUUCAAAAUCGAAAUAAAAAUCCAAAAUAACCAAACCAAAUUUAUAAAAAUCAAACCGAAUCGUAUUUAUUUUCGUUUGGUUAUGGUUGUCAUUUUCGUCAACUCAAAAAUCUUAAAUCAAAUCGAUAUUCAACAAUCAAACGAAUAAACUGAAUGCCCACUCAUAGUCAUAGGCCUGCUCGACAAACGGAUUUUCAAGUGGCUAUAAAAAUCAUCACUCAAUUUGAACUGAAAAAUGAAAGACAUAUAUAAAUAGAUAUAUAUCUUAUGGUCUCAAACAGGCAACUAUAUACCCCAAACACCCCAACUUUGAGAAUACUAUCUUAAACGAACUCCCUUAAAGAUGUCUAGAUGAUGCAUUUUUUAAUAUAAGGUGUAGGUGAGAUGCACUUGUGUCAAGAUGGUCAAAAUAAAAGUUGGAGAUGGUUAGUUAACAAUUGAGGCUAAGUUAAAAUGCAUAUAUAUGUUUGCUGCCCCUCCCCCCCUCCAAAAAAAAAACGGAAAGAAGAA
rnacentral:lncRNA from 1 species